rnacentral:rRNA from 1 species
GACGAACGCUGGCGGCGUGCUUAACACAUGCAAGUCGAACGGAAAGGCCCUGCUUUUGUGGGGUGCUCGAGUGGCGAACGGGUGAGUAACACGUGAGUAACCUGCCCUUGACUUUGGGAUAACUUCGGGAAACUGGGGCUAAUACCGGAUAGGAGCUCCUGCUGCAUGGUGGGGGUUGGAAAGUUUCGGCGGUUGGGGAUGGACUCGCGGCUUAUCAGCUUGUUGGUGGGGUAGUGGCUUACCAAGGCUUUGGCGGGUAGCCGGCCUGAGAGGGUGACCGGCCACAUUGGGACUGAGAUACGGCCCAGACUCCUACGGGAGGCAGCAGUGGGGAAUAUUGCACAAUGGGCGGAAGCCUGAUGCAGCAACGCCGCGUGCGGGAUGACGGCCUUCGGGUUGUAAACCGCUUUCGCCUGUGACGAAGCGUGAGUGACGGUAAUGGGUAAAGAAGCACCGGCUAACUACGUG